rnacentral:rRNA from 1 species
AGAAAGCCGAAAGCUUGCUUUUGGCGAGUAGAGUGGCGCACGGGUGAGUAACGCGUGGGUAAUCUGCCUUCGAACCGGGGAUAACACUUCGAAAGGGGUGCUAAUACCGGAUGACAUCCAGGUGUCUUCGGGCGCCUGGAUCAAAGAUGGCCUCUCCAUGGAAGCUGUUGUUCGAAGAUGAGCCCGCGUCCCAUUAGCUUGUUGGUGGGGUAAAGGCCCACCAAUGCGACGAUGGGUAGCUGGUCUGAGAGGAUGACCAGCCACACUGGCACUGACACACGGGCCAGACUCCUACGGGAGGCAGCAGUGAGGAAUUUUGCGCAAUGGGGGUAACCCUGACGCAGCAACGCCGCGUGAGUGAAGAAGGCCUUCGGGUCGUAAAGCUCUGUCGAGUGGGAAGAACCCGCAUCAGGUGACAAGGCUGAUGCGCUGACGGUACCACUGGAGGAAGCACCGGCUAACUCCGUGCCAGCAGCCGCGGUAAUACGGAGGGUGCAAGCGUUAUUCGGAAUUACUGGGCGUAAAGGGCGCGCAGGCGGCCUGGUAAGUCAGUAGUGAAAGCCCGGGGCUCAACCCCGGAAGUGCUGCUGAAACUGUUGGGCUUGAGUAUGGUAGAGGGAAGCGGAAUUCCUGGUGUAGCGGUGAAAUGCGUAGAUAUCAGGAGGAACACCGGUGGCGAAGGCGGCUUCCUGGACCAAUACUGACGCUGAGGCGCGAAGGCGUGGGUAGCAAACAGGAUUAGAUACCCUGGUAGUCCACGCAGUAAACGGUGAUCACUAGGUGUUGCGGGUAUUGAUACUUGCAGUGCCGGAGCUAACGCAUUAAGUGAUCCGNC